AACGAACGCUGGCGGCAUGCCUAACACAUGCAAGUCGAACGAAGCCUUCGGGCUUAGUGGCGCACGGGUGCGUAACGCGUGGGAAUCUGCCCUUGGGUUCGGAAUAACAGUUAGAAAUGACUGCUAAUACCGGAUGAUGUCUUCGGACCAAAGAUUUAUCGCCCAAGGAUGAGCCCGCGUAGGAUUAGGUAGUUGGUGGGGUAAUGGCCCACCAAGCCGACGAUCCUUAGCUGGUCCGAGAGGAUGAUCAGCAACACUGGGACUGAGACACGGCCCAGACUCCUACGGGAGGCAGCAGUGGGGAAUAUUGGACAAUGGGCGAAAGCCUGAUCCAGCAAUGCCGCGUGAGUUAUGAAGGCCUUAGGGUUGUAAAGCUCUUUUACCAGGGAUGAUAAUGACAGUACCUGGAGAAUAAGCUCCGGCUAACUCCGUGCCAGCCGCCGCCGUAAGAC
rnacentral:rRNA from 1 species